rnacentral:rRNA from 1 species
CGCGCAGGCGGCUGGCCAAGUCUGAUGUGAAAUCUUCCGGCUCAACUGGAAAAUGGCAUUAGAAACUGGCCGGCUGGAAGGUGGGAGAGGGCAGCGGAAUUCCCGGUGUAGUGGUGGAAUGCGUAGAUAUCGGGAGGAACACCAGUGGCGAAAGCGGCUGCCUGGCCCACUCUUGACGCUGAGGCGCGAAAGCUAGGGGAGCAAACGGGAUUAGAUACCCCGGUAGUCCUAGCCGUAAACGAUGAACACUAGGCGUUGUCGGUAUCGACCCCGGCAGUGCCGAAGCUAACGCAUUAAGUGUUCCGCCUGGGGAGUACGGCCGCAAGGCUAAA